UGCCUUAGUAACGGCGAGUGAAGCGGCAACAGCUCAAAUUUGAAAUCUGGCCCUCGGGUCCGAGUUGUAAUUUGUAGAGGAUGCUUUUGGCGCGGUGCCUUCCGAGUUCCCUGGAACGGGACGCCAUAGAGGGUGAGAGCCCCGUCUGGUUGGACACCAAGCCUCUGUAAAGCUCCUUCGACGAGUCGAGUAGUUUGGGAAUGCUGCUCUAAAUGGGAGGUAUAUGUCUUCUAAAGCUAAAUACCGGCCAGAGACCGAUAGCGCACAAGUAGAGUGAUCGAAAGAUGAAAAGCACUUUGAAAAGAGGGUUAAAUAGUACGUGAAAUUGUUGAAAGGGAAGCGUUUAUGACCAGACUUGAACUUUGUUGAUCAUCCGGUGUUCUCACCGGUGCACUCUUCUAGUUCAGGCCAGCAUCAGUUAGUCGCGGGGGAUAAAGGCAGUGGGAACGUGGCUCUUCGGAGUGUUAUAGCCCAUUGUGUAAUACCCUGCUUCUGACUGAGGUUCGCGCUUCCGCUUGGAUGCUGGCGUAAUGGUCAUCAACGACCCGUCUUGAAACACGGACCAAGGAGUCGUCUUCGUAUGCGAGUGUUCGGGUGUCAAACCCCUACGCGUAAUGAAAGUGAACGCAGGUGAGAGCUUCGGCGCAUCAUCGACCGAUCCUGAUGUUCUCGGAUGGAUUUGAGUAAGAGCAUACGGGGCCGGACCCGAAAGAAGGUGAACUAUGCCUGUAUAGGGUGAAGCCAGAGGAAACUCUGGUGGAGGCUCGCAGCGGUUCUGACGUGCAAAUCGAUCGUCAAAUAUGGGCAUGGGGCGAAAGACU
rnacentral:rRNA from 1 species